rnacentral:rRNA from 1 species
AUUGAACGCUGGUGGCAGGCCUAACACAUGCAAGUCGAGCGGAGCGGCGGACGGGUGAGUAAUGCCUAGGAAUCUGCCUGGUAGUGGGGGAUAACGUCCGGAAACGGGCGCUAAUACCGCAUACUAUCAGAUGAGCCUAGGUCGGAUUAGCUAGUUGGUGGGGUAAAGGCCUACCAAGGCGACGAUCCGUAACUGGUCUGAGAGGAUGAUCAGUCACACUGAGACUAAGACACGGUCCAGACUCCUACGUGGGGCAGCCGUGGGGAAUAUUGGACAAUGGGCGAGAGCCUGAUCCAGCCAUGCCGCGUGUGUGAAGAAGGUCGUCGGAUUGUAAAGCACUUUAAGUUGGGAGGCAUUGCCAACAGAGUGAGCACCGGCUUACUUCGUGCCAGCGGCCGCGGUGAUAC